AGAGUUUGAUCCUGGCUCAGGACGAACGCUGGCGGCGUGCUUAACACAUGCAAGUCGAACGAUGAACACCGGAGCUUGCUCUGGUGGGAUUAGUGGCGAACGGGUGAGUAACACGUGAGCAAUCUGCCCCCGACUCUGGGAUAACUCCGAGAAAUCGGUGCUAAUACCGGAUACGACACCUCCGGGCAUCAGGUGGGUGUGGAAAGAAUUUCGGUUGGGGUUGAGCUCGCGGCCUAUCACCUUGUUGGUGAGGUAAUGGCUCACCAAGGCGACGACGGGUAGCCGGCCUGAGAGGGUGACCGGCCACACUGGGACUGAUACACGGCCCAGACUCCUACGGGAGGCAUCAUUGGGGAAUAUUGACACAAUGGGCGCAAGCGUGAUGCAUUAACACCGCGUGGGGGACGAAGGCGUUCGGGUUGUAAACCUCUUUUGGCAGGCAAGAACCGAAAGUGACGAGUACCUGCACAAAAAGCACCGGCUAACUACGUGCCAACACCCGCGGGAAUACUUAGGGUGCAAGCGUUGUCCAGAAUUAUUGGCCGUAAGAGCUCAUAGGCGGUGUGUCACGUCUGCUGUAAAAAUCCUAGGCUCACCCUUGAACUUGCAAUGUGUACGGGCACACUCUAGUGCGGAAUGCGAGAAUGGAUUUCCUGGU
rnacentral:rRNA from 1 species